UGGUUAAAAAGCUCGUAGUUGGAUCUCGGCGGUCUGAGGGCGGUUCGCUUGAUUGAGUGCUACUGCUCUAUAGGCCGUGGUUUUGCCAGAGGUCUCGGGGUGCUCUUAACCGAGUGUCCUGCGAUGCUGGCAGGUUUACUUUGAAAAAAUUAGAGUGCUCAAAGCAGGCUUUUACGCCUGAAUAUUCGUGCAUGGAAUAAUAGAAUAGGAAGUCGUUUCUAUUUUGUUGGUUUUCGGAAAUCGACUUAAUGAUUAAUAGGGACAGUCGGGGGCAUUUGUAUUCAAACGACAGAGGUGAAAUUCUUGGACCGUUUGAAGACAAACUACUGCGAAAGCAUUUGCCAAGAAUGUUUUCAUUAAUCAAGGACGAAAGUUAGAGGUUCGAAGGCGAUUAGAUACCGCCCUAGUUCUAACCAUAAACGAUGCCAGCUAGCGAUCUGCCGACGUUUUCUUUGUAGACU
rnacentral:rRNA from 1 species